rnacentral:misc_RNA from 1 species
AGAACAGCACACGCUUCUUCUCGAUGUCUCACUCUAUACAUGAAAUUGAAGUGGCCAAAAUCAAAAUCUAUAUCACCCCUGUAUCGUCUAAACCGACGCUUCACAUCAACUCUAGCCUCCACAGAAUCAAUUUCAACUGUCCACUGCAAAAUCAGAGAUUUGAUCUCAAGAGGACUCCAUGGCCAAACAAUUGCACUGUAUCGACAAGAGCUCCGUCUCGCAGGUGUCCGUGCAAACGCCUUCAUCAUCCCUUCACUACUCAAAGCCUGCUCUUCUUCGGAGUACCAUCACUAUGGCCUUCAACUUCACUGCGUUGUUCUUAAAUCAGGUUUGGUGUAUGAUCCCGUUAUUUCUAAUGCUCUCAUGCCCUUUUAUGCUAAAUCUUCAGAUGUUGAACUUGCACUUAAAGUGUUCGAUACAAUGCCUUUGAGAGAUAGUAUUUCUUGGAAUUCUAUCAUAAAUUGCUGUGUACAAAAGGGGCGUAUCACCAAAGCGUAUGAAUUGUUUAAGGAAAUGUAUAAAUGUGGUUUUGUACCGAAACCCGAGUUGCUCGCUAGUUUUAUAUCGCUUUGUGUACGUUUAGGGAAUUUGAAACUCGGAAGAGCCAUUCAUGCUCUUGUUAUUGCUGAUGAGAGGAUCGAGGAGGAGGCUUUUGUGUUAACUUCUUUAGUUGACUGGUAUUGUAAAUGUGGUUACUUGUCCAUGGCUUUGCGCCUGUUUGAUCGAAUGGAAGUGAAAAAUGAGGUUUCCUGGACUGCGAUGGUAUCAGGGUGCAUUGCAAAUUUAGACUAUGGUAUGGCCGUUGAUUGUUUUCGAGCAAUGCAAAUGAAUGGGGUUAAACCUAAUAGAAUAACAUUGAUUGCGGUGUUACCAGCAUGUGCUGAGCUGGGUUGUAUUAAGCAUGGAAAAGAAAUUCAUGGAUAUGCAUUUCGUCAGGGGUUCGAUUUGGAUCACCAUUUUUUAUCUUCUCUUAUUCAUAUGUAUUGCAAAAGUGGGAAAUCAAUGCACCCUGCCAAGCUUAUUUUUGAGAGAUCAAAAGUCAAAGAUGUGGUGAUCUGGAGUUCAAUUAUUGGGAGCUAUUCCCGAAGUGGGCAUAGUGUUGAAGCUAUGAGUCUUUUUAAGCGGAUGAGAGCAGAAGGAAUUGAACCAAAUUCCGUGACUCUAUUGGCAGUAAUCACUGCCUGCACAAAUCUGACAGAACUUGAGCUUGGAAAUGCAACUCAUGGAUACAUUGUGAAAUGUGGCUUGAAUUUUGAUAUUUUUAUUGGGAAUGCACUAAUAAACAUGUAUUCAAAGUAUGGCUGUCUAGUGGCUUCGCAUCAAAUUUUCAAGGAAAUGCAUAUCAAAGAUUCAGUGUCAUGGAGUACAUUGAUUGCUGGUUAUGGCUUGCAUGGUUAUGGUAAGGAAGCUUUGUGUCUUUUUCAUGAUAUGCAAGACAGGAUGGUGGAACCAGAUGCAAUUACUUUAAUUGCCAUUUUAUCAGCUUGCAACCACACUGGCCUUGUCAAAGAGGGAAAACAGAUAUUUGAUAAUGUGAAGCAAGAAGGAAAAAUCCCACUGACUAUAGAACAUUAUGCUUGCCUAAUUGAUCUUCUUGGAAAGUCUGGGAAAAUCGAUGAUGCUUUUGAUAUUGUGCAAACAAUGCCCUUGAAACCUAGUGCAACAAUAUGGAGCUCUUUGGUGUCAGCAUGUAAAACUCAUGGGAGAUUUGAAAUUGCAGAAAUGCUAGCACACCACCUUAUAAAAUCAGAACCUGGGAAUGCUGCUAACCAUACUUUGCUCAGUGUGAUUUACGCUGAAUCAAAAAACUGGCCUGGUGUAGAAGAGGUGAGGAGAUUCAUGAGAGCACAGGGUCUUAAUAAAACCUAUGGAUUUAGCCAGAUUUCAAUAGGCAACUCUGCUUCAUUUCCAAUUUAGUUUUAUAGUCAGGUUGGUGACGCUUGUCCACCGCAGUAAUGUGAUCAGGUUUUGUGGUUUUUUUUUUUAAUUUUAUUUUUAUGUAUAAGCAAGUCAAUUUUAUUGAUAUGAUCCGAUAACUUCUUAGGACACAAUCAGUUUUUGUGGAUGCAUUUUAUGAAGCUAAAUUUUUUUUAUUUAU